AUUGAACGCUGGCGGCAGGCCUAACACAUGCAAGUCGAGCGAGCGGCGGACGGGUGAGUAAUGUCUGGGAAACUGCCUGAUGGGGGGGGAUAACUACUGGAAACGGUAGCUAAUACCGCAUACGAUGAGAGGUGCCCAUAUGGGAGUAGCUGGUAGGUGGGGUAACGGCUCACCUAGGCGACGAUCCCUAGCUGGUCUGAGAGGAUGACCAGCCACUCUGCAAUGGAGAUACGGUCCAGACUCGUACGUGAGGCAGCGUUGGGGAAUCUUGCACAAUGGGCGCUAGCCUGAUGCACCCAUGCCGAGUGUCUCAAGAAGGCCUUCGGGUUGUAAAGCACUUUCCGCGGGGGGGCGUUACCCGCAGAAGAAGCACCGGCUAACUCCGUGCCAGCAGCCGCGGUAAUAC
rnacentral:rRNA from 1 species